rnacentral:rRNA from 1 species
CGAACGGGUGAGUAACACGUGGGUGAUCUGCCCUGCACUUCGGGAUAAGCCCGGGAAACUGGGUCUAAUACCGGAUAGUACUGCGCGGUGCAUGCCGUGUGGUGGAAAGAUUUAUCGGUGCAGGAUGGGCCCGCGGCCUAUCAGCUUGUUGGUGGGGUAAUGGCCUACCAAGGCGACGACGGGUAGCCGGCCUGAGAGGGCGACCGGCCACACUGGGACUGAGACACGGCCCAGACUCCUACGGGAGGCAGCAGUGGGGAAUAUUGCACAAUGGGCGCAAGCCUGAUGCAGCGACGCCGCGUGAGGGAUGACGGCCUUCGGGUUGUAAACCUCUUUCAGCAGGGACGAAGCGCAAGUGACGGUACCUGCAGAAGAAGCACCGGCCAACUACGUGCCAGCAGCCGCGGUAAUACGUAGGGUGCAAGCGUUGUCCGGAAUUACUGGGCGUAAAGAGCUCGUAGGCGGUUUGUCGCGUCGUCUGUGAAAACCAGCAGCUCAACUGUUGGCUUGCAGGCGAUACGGGCAGACUUGAGUAUUUCAGGGGAGACUGGAAUUCCUGGUGUAGCGGUGAAAUGCGCAGAUAUCAGGAGGAACACCGGUGGCGAAGGCGGGUCUCUGGGAAAUAACUGACGCUGAGGAGCGAAAGCGUGGGUAGCGAACAGGAUUAGAUACCCUGGUAGUCCACGCCGUAAACGGUGGGCGCUAGGUGUGGGUUUCCUUCCACGGGAUCCGUGCCGUAGCUAACGCAUUAAGCGCCCCGCCUGGGGAGUACGGCCGCAAGCUAAACUCAAAGAAUUGACGGG